GUCUCCUACGGGGGGCAGCAGUGGGGAAUAUUGCACAAUGGGGGAAACCCUGAUGCAGCAACGCCGCGUGAAGGAAGACGGUUUUCGGAUUGUAAACUUCUUUUCUUAGUGAAGAAGCAAGUGACGGUAGCUAAGGAAUAAGCAUCGGCUAACUACGUGCCAGCAGCCGCGGUAAUACGUAUGGAGCAAGCGUUAUCCGGAAUUACUGGGUGUAAAGGGAGCGUAGGCGGCAAGGCAAGUCUGAUGUGAAAACCCAGGGCCCAACCCUGGGACUGCAUUGGAAACUGUAUUGCUUGAGUACCGGA
rnacentral:rRNA from 1 species